AGCGAACGCUGGCGGCAGGCCUAACACAUGCAAGUCGAACGGUAACAGGCCCUUCGGGGUGCUGACGAGUGGCGGACGGGUGAGUAACGCUUAGGAAUCUACCUAGUAGUGGGGGAUAACCCGGGGAAACUCGGGCUAAUACCGCGUACGCCCUACGGGGGGAAAGCGGGGGACUUUCGGGCCUCGCGCUACUAGAUGAGCCUAAGUCCGAUUAGCUAGUUGGUAGGGUAAUGGCCUACCAAGGCGACGAUCGGUAGCNGGUCUGAGAGGACGACCAGCCACACUGGGACUGAGACACGGCCCAGACUCCUACGGGAGGCAGCAGUGGGGAAUAUUGGACAAUGGGCGCAAGCCUGAUCCAGCGAUGCCGCGUGUGUGAAGAAGGCCUGC
rnacentral:rRNA from 1 species